rnacentral:rRNA from 1 species
AGGUGAUCCAGCCGCACCUUCCGAUACGGCUACCUUGUUACGACUUCACCCCAGUUAUUGAUUUCACCUUCGACGGACGCUUCCAAAAGGUUAGCUAUCCGGCUUCGGGCGCCCCCAACUUCCGUGGUGUGACGGGCGGUGUGUACAAGACCCGGGAACGCAUUCACCGCAGCAUUCUGAUCUGCGAUUACUAGUAACUCCAGCUUCAUGUAGGCGAGUUUCAGCCUACAAUCCGAACUGAGAAUGGCUUUAAGGGAUUAGCUCCACCUCACGGUUUGGCUGCCCUCUGUACCACCCAUUGUAGCACGUGUGUAGCCCUAAGCAUAAGGGGCAUGAUGAUUUGACGUCAUCCCCACCUUCCUCCAGGUUAUCCCUGGCAGUCCCUCUAGAGUGCCCAACUUAAUGAUGGCAACUAAAGGCAAGGGUUGCGCUCGUUGCGGGACUUAACCCAACAUCUCACGACACGAGCUGACGACAACCAUGCACCACCUGUCACUUCUGUCCCCGAAGGGAAAGAUGCGAUUAGGCAUCGGUCAAAAGGAUGUCAAGCUUAGGUAAGGUUCUUCGCGUUGCUUCGAAUUAAACCACAUGCUCCGCUACUUGUGCGGGUCCCCGUCAAUUCCUUUGAGUUUCACUCUUGCGAGCGUACUUCCCAGGCGGAGUACUUAAUGCGUUAGCUGCGCCACCGAAGGGGGUAACCUCCGACAGCUAGUACUCAUCGUUUACGGCGUGGACUACCAGGGUAUCUAAUCCUGUUUGCUCCCCACGCUUUCGUGCCUCAGCGUCAGUUACAGUCCAGAGAGCCGCCUUCGCAACUGGUAUUCCUCCUAAUAUCUACGCAUUUCACCGCUACACUAGGAAUUCUACUCUCCUCUCCUGCACUCAAGUCUUACAGUUUCAAGAGCUUACUACGGUUGAGCCGUAGCCUUUCACUCCUGACUUGAAAGACCGCCUACGCACCCUUUACGCCCAGUAAUUCCGGAUAACGCUAGCCCCCUACGUAUUACCGCGGCUGCUGGCACGUAGUUAGCCGGGGCUUCCUCCUCAAGUACCGUCAUUAUCUUCCUUGAGGACAGAGCUUUACGACCCGAAGGCCUUCAUCGCUCACGCGGCGUUGCUGCAUCAGGCUUUCGCCCAUUGUGCAAUAUUCCCCACUGCUGCCUCCCGUAGGAGUUUGGACCGUGUCUCAGUUCCAAUGUGGCCGAUCACCCUCUCAGGUCGGCUACUGAUCGUCGCCUUGGUAAGCCGUUACCUUACCAACUAGCUAAUCAGACGCGGGUCCAUCCUGUACCGCAAAAACUUUGAUAAGAAAGCCAUGCGACUCUCCCAUAUUAUCUCGUAUUAGCAUACCUUUCGGUAUGUUAUCCGUGUGUACAGGGCAGGUUACCCACGCGUUACUCACCCGUCCGCCGCUCUUUACCGAAGUAAAUCGCUCGACUUGCAUGUGUUAGGCACGCCGCCAGCGUUCAUCCUGAGCCAGGAUCAAACUCU